rnacentral:rRNA from 1 species
UACGGGGGGGGCAAGCGUUGUUCGGAAUUACUGGGCGUAAAGGGCUCGUAGGUGGCCAACUAAGUCAGACGUGAAAUCCCUCGGCUUAACCGGGGAACUGCGUCUGAUACUGGAUGGCUUGAGUUUGGGAGAGGGACGCGGAAUUCCAGGUGUAGCGGUGAAAUGCGUAGAUAUCUGGAGGAACACCGGUGGCGAAGGCGGAGUCCUGGACCAACACUGACACUGAGGAGCGAAAGCCAGGGGAGCAAACGGG